AGAAAAUAGGAGGUCAAGAGGAGGAGAAGGGGCAGAGUUUCAGGUGUCCCAGAUUUGCAGUGACACGAAGCAGAGAAUUAGGAUGGGAAGAAGUGUCAUGGCUUACCAGUGGCUAAGAAACUCCACGAUGGAGGCCUGGAUUAUUUUGAGGGCUAUAGCCUUGAGAACUGGGUGUGCCUGGCCUACUUCGAGAGCAAGUUCAACCCCAUGGCCAUCUACGAGAACACACGUGAUGGCUACACUGGCUUCGGCCUCUUUCAGAUGCGUGGCAGUGACUGGUGUGGCGACCAUGGCAGGAACCGCUGCCAUAUGUCAUGUUCCGCUUUACUGAAUCCUAAUUUAGAGAAGACAAUUAAAUGUGCCAAGACCAUUGUAAAAGGAAAAGAAGGGAUGGGAGCAUGGCCCACCUGGUCCCGGUACUGCCAGUACUCCGAUACCCUGGCACGGUGGCUGGAUGGUUGCAAGCUGUAGCCGCCUGCAUGGCCCCUGCAGCACUCACCAGUUGCAUCUUGUGAAUGAAGGUGCUUUUCUGCUUGCUGCUUCAGUCAAUCCUUUUGAUGAUCUCACCACUUUAAGAGUUCCAGAUGGAAAAAGACAAAAGUUUGCUUCAUCCGGGGAUGCAGGAUGCAGAAUAAACCA
rnacentral:sRNA from 1 species